GGCUCGUUGGUCUAGCGGUAUGAUUCUCGCUUAGGGUGCGAGGGGUCUCGGGUUCAAUUCCCGGACGAGCCC
rnacentral:tRNA from 1 species